UUCUUGUUAAUUAGUCCCAAUGGCUUGAUUUUUCCGGAAAGAUUGGAACUUUUGGGAUUUUAAAUGGGUUUAUAGGGAUUUUAACGAAUCAUAUAUUUAUAAGCUUAAAUGAUGAUGAAGAAGAAAAAAAGUUCAUAGUCUUUUCAUUGGAUCAAUCAAAUUAAACAAUGAGUGGAAGAAAGGAAUGCCCUUCUUCGGUACCUGCCGUUUUCUUCUUUCUCUAACGUUUCUUUGUUUUCUAAAACCUUCUAAUGCUUAUAAUGUUAUCCUCUACCUUCGAAAAUCUUAUAUUUUAUCAUCAUUCUUAUGUUGUGGCUAUCUUCAUACUCAGCGUGAUCCAUGUUGUCCUAAAAAAAUCAAGAUUAACAGAUUAGUGAGUAAAAUUUUUAUGUCCCAUUGAUGAGGCUUCAAAAUUUUUUCAAAAAGUUUAGUGCAAUUUUCAAAGCUUAUAUUUUAAGGCAGCACUUUUAAUGACCUUAAUAAUAGCUCGAAAGAUCUUAACAGAUAGAUUUGGCUCUUAGAGAUCGCCUACUAGAAAAAUUUUUAAAGAAAACCUAGAUAACCAUGAUUUAGACUUUAGAAACCAUAUUUUAGCGACUAGGAUUUCUUUUUCAAACGAGGAUUUAGAAUGUAGAGCAGGGAACAUGGAGUUUUAGUUAAUGAGUGAAAAAAUACCAUUGACAAUUUCAUGUAUGCCAUUUCAAUUGGACUCUGGAUCUUCAUUUUGUAUCUAUUUGUAAUCCAUAAAUUUCACAUUGACGUUGCUUGUGUUUAAUCACUUCAAGUUUUUUUUUUUUCUCACAAACACUAAAACCUAUUCAGUAUAUCGGAUAUGUGACUAAGAUAUUAUCUUUUAUAUAAAAUUUAAUCCAUAUUUUAUUUUUUUUUAAAAUAUUUUUAUAUUUGUUUAAUUUUCUCUUUCCUGCACCAUAAGGUUUUCGUGCUUAUACAUAUUAAUCAUAUACUCAAAUUCAUUUUCUAUUCGAAUAAAUUUAUUCAGAUUCAAAAAUUGGUAUGGAUGAAUAUUAUCUGGUUCACUCUCACCCUUACAUCUUAACUAUUCUUCUAAUCUUAACUAUCUUCUUCUCUGUCUCUCUCUCCCUCCCCGAUCGAACGAGUUUAAUUAGUUGCCACUGCUACAGAUCACAAGUUCUCAAUCCAUGACUUAAUGGGAGAUGUGCUAGGGUUCAGGAGAUUGACACCCCAUGUAUCACACAAUUCAUGGAUGAAUCGUGAAUUCCACGCAACAUUUUAUCUAACAAAUUUCUUAUCAUGCCUUAUUGCCAUGCACCCAAACCCAAAAUUUUUUGUCGACCAAAAUCUUUAUCAAAUAUAUGGAUAAGAGCCACUGAGGUGGCAGCUUAGUGGGAGCGUGGCUUUACUUCCAACCAAAUGGUUUCAAGUUCGAAACGCUCGGACGUCGAUUAAAUUGUGGAGACCGGAUGCUCCCUGCUCGGACAUGGGUCUGAAGGAGCGUAUCGCUCUGCUAGUAGCCUCGGUGGUGUCAGGUGUGACAUACUCAUGCGUGGUAUUCGUGCCGGAGUCCAGAGGGAUAACCGAGCCGGACCCACGGAUGGGGAUGGUAUGAGUAAAACCGUAAGGAGGCUUGCCAAGCAUAAGGGAAGUUGGCAAGGGUGGAAUAUAUAUAUAUAUAUAUACAAAUAGGAUAACCAACACAUACUUUGGAAAAAGUUUGGAUCCUCUUCGAUCCUGAAAUGGAUUGGAGAGGUCCAGUCUUGGCUAUUUGUUAGAUAAUAACUAUGAUUAAAUGGAAUAUGACAUAAGAUAUUAUAUAGGGUUCAUUCAAUUAUAAUCGUCGUGCAAAACAUAGAUUUUCAUGAUUUGAAGAUUAGAGAUAGGUGCUUGUCUUAAAAAGUUUGAGUUCAUAUCCCCUCUAACUCGUGUUAAAUUGGAGAGAUGACUUCUUAAUCAUAGUUAUUUGCACAUUAUCCACAAUGACCACUCAACUUAUCUCAAUUCAGUCUUAGUCCUAAAUUAGUUGGGGUCAACUCUUUUCCUCAUUUCCAUUUUGUUUAAGGACUAUACUUUUUCUAAAAGAUGUAGCGAUAGUAAAUCCUUCCUUAUUGCUUUAUUCAAUGUAAUUUUCGAUCUAUCUGUAUCAUUUUUUUUCUUCUGCAUGUAUUAAAUUUCUCUUAUGAUUCUUAACUAAAAUCUUUUGAUUCUAAUGCACUCCAUAAUUUUAAUUUACGAUUAACUCCAACCUUAGUUUUAUCUGCUAAGAUUAUAUUAUCUAUAAAUAGCAUGCAACAAGAACUAUCAUCCUAAAUAUUCCAAGUAAGUUCAUUCAUAACUAACACAAAAUGUACUGAUUUUGAGCGGAUCCUUAAUGUAAAUCUAUUAUGGUUGGACAUUCACUAGUAUCAUCAUCGAUAGUUUUCACUAAUAACUUUUUGGUUACAUUAGUUUAACUAUGAUAAACUCCUUUCUUUUUUUAUCACUUACUAGUCACUAUAAGACUUCUUUAAAAACUGUAUAAUAUGCUUUCUCCAAAUCAGUAAAAACCAUAUAAAGAUUUUUUUUCUCUAAAUAUCUUCAUUAACCUUUGAAGGAGAAAAAAUAAAUUCUAUACUCAGUUUUCUUGUCAUAAAACCAAAUUAGUUCUCGAACAUCUUUGUUUUACACCUUAAUUACCAUGCUUAAUCAUCCUCUUUCAAUAUUUUAUAGUAUGUUUUAAUACUACAGUAGUUAGAACAAUUUAGAAUAUUAUUUUUAUUUUUAUAAAUUAGUACUAUGGUGCUUUUCUAUAUUCAUCGGACAUUUUUCUAGUUUUUUAAAUUUUAUUAAAUAAAUUAGUUGGCUAAGUUAUUUCUGCAGCAGCUCACACCAUCUUUUUUUUUUUUUUUUGCUAGCCUCUUCUCCUUUUUUUUUUUUGCGCAAAACCUUAUUUUGACUUUGAUACUUUGUAUGGAUAUUUAAGAUUUCUAGUUUCAAUUUAUCCUUAGUUGGUGUUACCUCUAUCUUUUUUACCGAUAGCUUUAUUUCUUGUUCCAUAUUCUGUUGUACCAUCAUACAUUUAUCUUAACAUUCUCAUUUCAACAACACUCAUUUUAUGCAUAUAUUAUUUUCUAAUUAUCCAAAAUUUUAUACCAUAAAGCAUAGCCAAUCAUGUUACUAUCCUAUAAAAUUUUUUGUUCAAUAGUAUGUAUUCUAUAUAUGAUCACAUAAUAUAUAUGAGUUGUACUUCUCCAUUUCAUCUAUCCUACUUUUUUUCUAUUAAUAACAUGUUCUUCAAUCUCUUAUUUUUUUUAUAAAAAAUCAAGUUUUAUGAUUCUUAAGUUUUACUCUAUCAUCUUCUCUAUUUUUAAAUUUACUAAAACUACAUUGUACGCCUAACAUCUUGGUCCUAAUUAUUCUGGAAUCUUUUGAUUCUUCGAUAAUUCUGAUUUACACCUUAGUUUUCUCCCCCAAAACUAUAUCAUUCGUAAAAAGCGUGCAGUAAAAAAUAUCGUCAUGAAUAUGCCGGGUAUUCUCAGUCACCCUCUUCUUGAAUUCUAUAUCAUAGCUUAUAAAUUUAGUACUAUAGUAAUUAGAAUAAUUUUGAAUAUUAUAUUUAUUUUUUUACAUCGGUGCUAUGGCACUCUUCUUCCUUCAUUAGAUAUUUUCUUAAUUUUUAAAAUUUUAUUUAUUGUAACUUAAUAAUGUGCAUACUACAUCGUGAUGAUGAAAUUCUGUACAUGUACCGCCAUGCAUGGAUGGGAACCGUCAUCGGUGACGCAGUGGAACGCAAUGGAACCGUGCGACGCGAAUCGGACGCUGAAAUAACGCGAAAGGACCGCGGGAUAGGUAUACGUGUCGACGGAUUAAUACCCAUCGCUGCCUGCAUUCGGUACACGGCGUCCUAACCCACCGCGGGAUAGGCGAAUUAGCGGUUUGCUUCCGGUCUAAUAAAAAUUUCUGCCGGGGUAACCUCGCCUCCCGUUCGCGUCCAACGUCUCUCGUCUCUCUGAGCGCCGGUACCAAUUCCCCCUUCCCCAGGUUGAAGACUCCGGAGGCACAAAUCGACGACGGCGUGCCCUCCGAUAUGCAUAGCGGCCGCCGGCGACGUAGAAGAUGGAAAGAAAGGUCCGUUGGAAAGAGGAGAAAUUAUUUUUUUGUGGCGGUGAGAAGAUAGAAAGAAAGAUCCGAGAAAAAAUUAUCUUACACAAGCAUCAAGUGGGGGUGCAUGAUCCAUUCAUGGCCGUUCGUUUUUGUGGUGCCGCAUCGAAAAUAAGCGCUCGAUGAAUGAAUCUGCGGCGGUGCCAGCCGCCUGUUUUUAUGGCGGGGCGGCGGUGCCAGCCGCCUGUUUUUAUGGCGGGGCGGCGGUACCAGCCGUGGGGCAUCAAGACAAGUUCUCCCGACCCUUCGAUCGCGUUUCGCGCUCAAAGUCGAUUGCGGGCCCCACUCAAAGUAAGUCGGUCGUUCGUUCUUUCGUUCGACCUUCGCUUCUCAAUCAGUGCUUUGACUUUUGGGUACUCGCACCUGCGUGCACGACAAGCAACGCUACGUCUACCCCGAGGUGCGAUUCACGAAUAAAGUCGGUCGUCGCGUGCAGGCAAAGAAAAUGUGGCCUGUCCUUUUUUGUCUAUUUUGAAUCCUUAUCUCUUCGGCGAGGACGUCAUUCGUGAAGUCACGCUGGAGCACUCGCGAUACGAGAGGCGGGUGUUCGCUCGCCGAAACGAACCAAUCAGGAGGGACCAGGCCUUAAAUAUCGCCGAAUGCUUGAGAAAGAUCCAUGGGAACGGAGCCUCCGAGGCUUCGUUGUUAUUCGACCUUCUCGGUGUGUGUGGGCGAGUCCGCGCAUUCUAUCGUUUUCAAACUUCGAAUAACGUUUCAGUCGGCAGGGUUGCUUUUAAUAUUGUUGCGGUCACACUCCGGUGAGUUACCGACUCAGGCCUAAAUAAACAAACUUUCUUAUAUCAUAAUUCUUUUUAAAAGAAACUUCCUUAGUCUUCUGCUCAUAAAUCUAUAAUAUUUAAAAUAUUUUAUUUUUAAAUUUUUUUUUGUUGUUUACUGUAUGUAAGUUGAUGAUAAUGAUUAUGGAUUUACCGAGUAUGGUACUGACCGAAAUUAAGUUUUUUCCACUAACGUCGCAUGAGUAUAGCCAGUGCAAUCAAGAAUAAAAAAAUAUUUAAAAAAGUCAAGGUUAUUAUGUACUAUCUCAAGUGUUGUUACUUUCGAGCUAACUUCUUGUGUAAGAAAUUUUUAGAAAGCUACCCCGGUUCUUUUCGCUGUCCGUUGUCUGUAGGGUCAUUUUGUGAUGGUAUUAAAGAUAGAGGAGUGAUGUGAGGCUGAACUCUCUAGUUCAGAACAUUUGGUGUCUUGUUGAUGGUUGUUCAAUUUUUAUGACGAAAUAUAUUUAUAGAUAGAUAAAUAGUAUGGCAAAUUGAAUAGUCUCACAUAUCUUUGAUUCUUUCAAAAGCUUUCUCAGUCUUCGGCUCAUGUAUCUAUAAUAUUUAGAAGUAUUUUAUCUUUUGAUUUUUCCGGUUGCGAAUUUAGUAUCCGUGUCGACAAUAUUGAUUACA